rnacentral:rRNA from 1 species
AUGCUUGUCUCAAAGAUUAAGCCAUGCAUGUCUAAGUCCAAGCUGUGUUCACACGGCGAGACCGCGGACGGCUCAUUAAAUCAGUCGUGGUCCAAAUGGGCCAGUGCAAAUCCUACUUGGAUAACUGUGGUAAUUCCAGAGCUAAUACAUGCAACUGAUAUCCCGAAGGCGGUGUUGGGGCUUGCUUGCCUUGCGCUGCGCUGCUCUGACGGAUGCUUUUAUUAGACCAAGCCGCUGAGGACUUGAGGGUUCGCGCUCUCUUGUUUGACUCGUGUGAUGGUGACUCUGGAUAACCAAAUUCUGACAAGCGCACGUACUUCUCUUCUGAGCGAGACGGCGCUGCCACUUUCGAGUGUCUGCCUUAUCAGCUAUCAACCGUUCGUUAUGCGCGACCGAUGGCUUUGACGGGUAACGGGGAAUCAGGGUUCGAUUCCGGAGAGGCAGCCUGAGAGACGGCUACCACGUCCAAGGACGGCAGCAGGCACGCAAAUUACCCAAUCCCAGCAAAUGGGGGAGGUAGUGACGAAAUCUAACGAUGCGGGCGCCCUUUCUGGGGCCCCGCAAUCGGAAUGGGCACUUUCUAAACAACCUGUUGAGAACCUA